UGGACUACAGGGGUAUCUAAUCCCGUUCGCUACCCUAGCUUUCGUUCCUCAGCGUCAGAAAAGAUCCAGUGAGCCGCUUUCGCCACCGGUGUUCCUGAUGAUAUCAACGCAUUUCACCGCUCCACCAUCAGUUCCACUCACCUCUAUCUCCCUCAAGCCGUGUGGUUUCAAGCGCAGUUCCACAGUUGAGCUGUGGGAUUUCACACCUGACCUACAUGGCCGCCUACGAACUCUUUAAGCCCAGUGAUACCGAAUAACGUUCGGACGGUUCGUCUUACCGCGGCUGCUGGCAC
rnacentral:misc_RNA from 1 species